rnacentral:rRNA from 1 species
GCUCCCUUCGGGGAGUGCAUAAAGUGGCGCACGGGUGAGUAACACGUAAGUAAUCUACCCUCGAGUGGGGAAUAACAACCGGAAACGGUUGCUAAUACCGCAUAAUGCAGCGGCACCGCAAGGUGACAGUUGUUAAAGGAGUAAUUCGCUUGAGGAGGAGCUUGCGGCAGAUUAGCUUGUUGGUAAGGUAACGGCUUACCAAGGCUACGAUCUGUAUCCGGUCUUAGAGGACGGUCGGACACACUGACACUGAAUAACGGGUCAGACUCCUACGGGAGGCAGCAGUCGGGAAUUUUGGGCAAUGGGCGAAAGCCUGACCCAGCAACGCCGCGUGAAGGAUGAAGUAUUUCGGUAUGUAAACUUCGAAAGAAUAGGAAGAAUAAAUGACGGUACUAUUUAUAAGCUCCGGCUAACUACGUGCCAGCAGCCGCGGUAAUACGUAGGGAGCAAGCGUUGUUCGGAUUUACUGGGCGUAAAGGGCGCGUAGGCGGCGCGGUAAGUCACUUGUGAAAUCUCUGAGCUUAACUCGGAACGGUCAAGUGAUACUGCAGUGCUAGAGUGCAGAAAGGGCAAUCGGAAUUCUUGGUGUAGCGGUGAAAUGCGUAGAUAUCAAGAGGAACACCUGAGGCGAAGGCGGGUUGCUAGGCUGACACUGACGCUGACAGCGCGAAAGCCAGGGGAGCAAACGGGAUUAGAUACCCCGGUAGUCCUGGCCCUAAACGAUGAAUACUUGGUGUCUGGAGUCUUAAUGCUCCGGGUGCCGUCGCUAACGUUUUUAGUAUUCCGCCUGGGGAGUACGCUCGCAAGAGUGAAACUC